AACGAGUUAGUAUACCUAAUACCUUUAAUUUAGGCUUAAAAAAAGGAUAACCUCCACUCGCUA
rnacentral:tRNA from 1 species